CCAAACGUCUCUGCGGAAAGGAAGUUUCUUUGGUGAAAGUAGCUUGGAGUCAGGCUGGUAUUGAAGAACAUACCUGGGAGCUUGAAUCAGAGAUGCGAAAGGACUACCCACACCUCUUUUCAGGUUCAAGUUAGCUUCCGGAACUUGUGGGCUCAAGCUAUUGAGCAUAUGGGUAUGGUGUAGUUUAAGAGGGUGUUUAUGCAUUGGACUUGAAUUUAGAUUACUUAGAGCUUUGUUGGUGACAAGGCUUGCUUUGGGGCUGUUUGAUUGAGCUUGGAGGGGCUGUGAUUUUGUGUUGAGAGGAUGUCUUGGGUGAAUUAAGUG